CAAAUACUCCCUCCGUCCGGAAAUACUUGUCAUCAAAAUGGAUAAAAGGNUAUCUAGACGUAUUUUAGUUUUAGAUACAUCUCUUUUUAUCCAUUUUGAUGACAAGUAUUUUCGGACAGAGGGAGUAGAAA
rnacentral:pre_miRNA from 1 species